rnacentral:rRNA from 1 species
GACGAACGCUGGCGGCGUGCCUAAUACAUGCAAGUAGAACGCUGAAGCUUGGUGCUUGCACCGAGCGGAUGAGUUGCGAACAGGUGAGUAACGCGUAGGUAACCUGCCUGGUAGCGGGGGAUAACUAUUGGAAACGAUAGCUAAUACCGCAUAGGACAUUUUACUGCAUGGUAAGAUGUUAAAAGGUGCAACUGCACCACUACCAGAUGGACCUGCGUUGUAUUAGCUAGUUGGUGGGGUAACGGCUCACCAAGGCGACGAUACAUAGCCGACCUGAGAGGGUGAUCGGCCACACUGGGACUGAGACACGGCCCAGACUCCUACGGGAGGCAGCAGUAGGGAAUCUUCGGCAAUGGACGGAAGUCUGACCGAGCAACGCCGCGUGAGUGAAGAAGGUUUUCGGAUCGUAAAGCUCUGUUGUAAGAGAAGAACGAGUGUGAGAGUGGAAAGUUCACACUGUGACG